AGUGAGGUACUGUGUUAACAUUUCUUUACUGUUUGUUCUCCAUGAGCUUCACUAACUGCUGAAAGCUUGAUUUACCAUAUAGAACAAGUGUUUAGUUAACUACUUGUCAAUUUGUAACCCACUUUGGGUUAGCCAUUUGCAAGAUAACCAAUACAUAGUCGCGCCAAUAGGUAAUUACAUGUCUUUGUGCUCGGCUGUUUCAGCUUGUUUACAUAUUAGGUGUUUCCAGUUUUCUCUGAAGUUUGAAAUGUGAAUGACAUUAGUUCUUUUGACAGAUAAGCAGCAGAAUUGUGAUGAUAAUGGAUGACAUGGUUGAUGAAGGUGAUAACGACCCAUGAUGGGUUUCUUGAUGCCAAAAGUAACCAGAGGCUAGGCUAGGCCCACUAUGUAUCAAGUUGUAAAGGAGAUGGUUGACAAGAUGGGCUAUGCAGUGAAGGUUGUUCAAGUCACCAAGAGGGUACAUGAAGCAUAUUUUGCUCAGUUAUACCUAACAAAGGCAUAUUCCUGUUACAAGCUUGUAUUUUGUUUGACUAAUAUUUUCCAUAAAACUUGCUUUAAUAGUAAUAUUUAACUGAUAAAGUUUUGUUUUUUUUUUUUAAAAAUCUCA